UACGGAGGGGGCAAGCGUUGUCCGGACUUACUGGGCGUAAAGGGUGCGUAGGCGGUCUUGUGCGUCGGUGCUGAAAGCGCCCGGCUUAACCGGGCGAGGCGUGCCGAUACGACGAGACUUGAGGGGCAGCGAGGGUGGCGGAACUCCUGGUGUAGUGGUGAAAUGCGUAGAGAUCAGGAAGAACACCCGUGGCGAAAGCGGCCACCUGGCUGCCAACUGACGCUGAGGCACGAGAGCGUGGGGAGCGAACCGG
rnacentral:rRNA from 1 species